GACGAACGCUGGCGGCGUGCUUAACACAUGCAAGUCGAACGGUAAGGCCCUUCGGGGUACACGAGUGGCGAACGGGCGAGUAACACGUGGGUGAUCUGCCCUGCACUUCGGGAUAAGCCUGGGAAACUGGGUCUAAUACCGGAUAGGACCACUGCCUGCAUGGGUGGUGGUGGAAAGCUUUUGCGGUGUGGGAUGGGCCCGCGGCCUAUCAGCUUGUUGGGGGGGUGAUGGCCUACCAAGGCGACGACGGGUGGCCGGCCUGAGAGGGUGACCGGCCACACUGGGACUGAGAUACGGCCCAGACUCCUACGGGAGGCAGCAGUGGGGAAUAUUGCACAAUGGGCGCAAGCCUGAUGCAGCGACGCCGCGUGAGGGAUGACGGCCUUCGGGUUGUAAACCUCUUUCAGCACCGACGAAGCGCAAGUGACGGUAGGUGCAGAAGAAGGACCGGCCAACUACGUGCCAGCCGCCGCCGUAA
rnacentral:rRNA from 1 species